AGGCAGCAGUGGGGAAUAUUGCACAAUGGGCGAAAGCCUGAUGCAGCGACGCCGCGUGGGGGAUGACGGCCUUCGGGUUGUAAACCUCUUUCAGUAGGGAAGAAGCGAGAGUGACGGUACCUGCAGAAGAAGCGCCGGCUAACUACGUGCCAGCAGCCGCGGUAAUACGUAGGGCGCAAGCGUUGUCCGGAAUUAUUGGGCGUAAAGAGCUUGUAGGUGGCUUGUCGCGUCUGCCGUGAAAACCCGAGGCUCAACCUCGGGCGUGCGGUGGGUACGGGCAGGCUAGAGUGUGGUAGGGGAGACUGGAACUCCUGGUGUAGCGGUGAUAUGCGCAGAUAUCAGGAAGAACACCGAUGGCGAAGGCAGGUCUCUGGGCCAUUACUGACACUGAGAAGCGAAAGCAUGGGGAGCGAACAGGAUUAGAUACCCUGGUAGUCCAUGCCGUAAACGUUGGGCACUAGGUGUGGGGAACAUUCCACGUUUUCCGCGCCGUAGCUAACGCAUUAAGUGCCCCGCCUGGGGAGUACGGCCGCAAGGCUAAAACUCAAAGGAAUGACGG
rnacentral:rRNA from 1 species